rnacentral:siRNA from 1 species
UAUGCCACAUGUCAAGUCUAU